AACGGAGUAGCAUACUUAGUGGCGGACGGGUGAGUAACGCGUAAGAAUCUAGCUUCAGGUUCGGGACAACAGUUGGAAACGACUGCUAAUACCGGAUGUGCCUACGGGUGAAAGGCUUGCUGCCUGAAGAAGAGCUUGCGUCCGAUUAGCUAGUUGGUGAGGUAAAGGCUUACCAAGGCGUCGAUCGGUAGCUGGUCUGAGAGGAUGACCAGCCACACUGGGACUGAGACAAGGCCCAGACUCCUACGGGAGGCAGCAGUGGGGAAUUUUCCGCAAUGGGCGAAAGCCUGACGGAGCAAUACCGCGUGAGGGAAGAAGGCUCUUGGGUUGUAAACCUCUUUUCUCAGGGAAUAAAAAAAUGAAGGUACCUGAGGAAUAAGCAUCGGCUAACUCCGUGCCAGCAGCCGCGGUAAUACGGAGGAUGCAAGCGUUAUCCGGAAUGAUUGGGCGUAAAGCGUCCGCAGGUGGUACAACAAGUCUAGUGUCAAAGACCGGGGCUCAACCCCGGAAAGGCGGUGGAAACUGUUGAACUAGAGGGUCGUAGGGGUAGAGGGAAUUCCCAGUGUAGCGGUGAAGUGCGUAGAGA
rnacentral:rRNA from 1 species